rnacentral:tRNA from 1 species
GGAGAGGUGGCAGAGUCCGGUUUAAUGCGGUGGUCUUGAAAACCACUGAGGGUUUGCGCCCUCCGGGGGUUCGAAUCCCUCCCUCUCCGCCA